rnacentral:tRNA from 1 species
GAUCCCGUAGCUCAGCCUGGUUAGAGCGCCUGUCUUAUAAGCAGGAGGCCCUGAGUUCAAAUCUCAGCGGGAUCA